ensembl:lncRNA
UCACGUCACUUGCAGUGAGAACAACAGCGUGAGUUACGAGGGUGUACUUUGUAUGGAGCCCGUCUUUGGUGCGUGGGAAAGACAAAUGGCGGACGUACAGUUCCCAUCCAGAGAAGAAAAGCAUCCAGAGAAGAAGAGAGAUGGCACGUCUGGCAAAUGAUCAUGUGGCACGGAGCAACAGAUUAUGUUCAGGGGGAAACAAAAGUUUGUCUCUACGUGGAGAUUUGUCUCCUGGCUCUGAGCUGACUCCUUUGCAAGGAUCUAUUGUUCUGCUGCAAAGACACAACAAGCUCACUGCGACCAACGGACCCCUCCACCUCCCUCCAUCAAAGAGGUGCAUGAUAAACCUGCUGUGAAAAAGAGGCGGAUGGAGGCCUCAUUUCCCGUCCCAGGCCAGUGAACUCAAACAGUGAGCAGCUCUGUCCCAUUGACAGGCUGUGAUGAAGUGGCCUUUAAGACGACUGACCAGCGCACACGAUGGAUGGGAACACAUAUGCAUGUGUGCAGGCGGGGCACCUGUACUUCGUCUGCCAUGUGACAUCGCCCUGCUGAGCUUGUCGACGGGAAGAAAGCGGCAGCCUCGUCUCAUAUGGGGAAUCAAACCGUACCAGAAUUCUGAUCUGACUUGGACCACAUCCCAGAAAGCAGCAGAGUUAAUAGC